AUACGGAGGAUGCGAGCGUUAUCCGGAAUCAUUGGGUUUAAAGGGUCCGCAGGCGGUCAAUUAAGUCAGAGGUGAAAGCCCAUCGCUCAACGAUGGAACUGCCUUUGAUACUGGUUGACUUGAGUUAUACGGAAGUAGAUAGAAUAAGUAGUGUAGCGGUGAAAUGCAUAGAUAUUACUUAGAAUACCGAUUGCGAAGGCAGUCUACUACGUAUAUACUGACGCUGAGGGACGAAAGCGUGGGGAGCGAACAGGAUUAGAAACCCCAGUAGUCC
rnacentral:rRNA from 1 species